ACUACAGGCGCCUGCCACGACGCCCGGCUAAGUUUUUGUAUUUUUAGUAGAGACGGGGUUUCACCGUGUUAGCCAGGAUGGCCUGGAUCUCCUGACCUCGUGAUCCGCCCGCCUUGGCCUCCCAGAGUGCUGGAUUCCAGGCGUGAGCCACCGCGCCCGGCCCCUCUUUCUCCAUCUUUAAAGACAGCAGGACAUGGAGAACAACCACGGCUGUGCCCGGUUCUUCAGGUGGCUGCCAGUCCCCCCGUGCCUGCUCCCUGUCCCUGCCUGCCUUCCCGCUGAUGAUGACUGACGUUCUGGGACGGAGGAGCAGGUUAGGCCUAGGUACAGUUGUGUGCUGGUAAAUUUGUAACAAAAGGCUCUCCAGGGGAAGAAAAGCCCUGAUUUUCAGUGUUUGCCAAUUUCCACGGUAUUAAAAGUACUCACACCAAGGCCGGUUUUAAGCAGUGCUCCUGAAGUCCCUGAAGACAGAGUUGAAAAGCAUCGUGCACAGUUGACUCUUCUAAGCUAGUCCGAGCUGGCUCCAACACACUACUGCCUAUUUCUUUCUUAGUCUUGAGCCUGCUGGCCUUUGGAAUGGACCACACCAUCAACUGUCCUGGUUGUCAGGCCUUUGGACUUGGGGUGGAACUAAACUAUCAGCUCUCCUGGGUCAACAGCUUGCCGACUCAUCCUGCAAAUCUUAGGACUUGCCAGCCUCCUUGAUUGCAUGACCAAUUCCUUAUAAUAAAUCUCUUCAUAUAUGUGUGACCACAUCCUAUUACUUGUGUUCUUUUGGAGAACUCUGACUACUACACUAAGUAAAGACGCACAACAUUUGCAAGACAAUGCAAAGUUUGACCUGACUAAAUUAGAAAGAUUAUGUUGUGGGGAAAUUUAAGAUAGUUGGUUUGAUAGAGUCAGAGAAGAUGAAGGAGAGUUGAGAUGGAUUUAGAUUGGUGAUGCAAUUAAAAUACUUACUCCUAAAGUCAUCACUAUCUCACUAGUCAGUGUUAUCCUAUUUUCCAUUGAGCCUGAAUUUGAGGAUUUUGUCUCAAUAGUGUAUCUCCAAACAUUCCCUAACAAUCAUAUAGAGUAAGUGCACUAGAUUAAACCUUUUGCAAAUCACAUAGGGAUCUAGUUAAAAUGCAGAUAAUGAUUUAAUAGACCCAGGGUAGAACCUGAGUUCUGUUGCUACUCCAAGGACCAGGUUUUUGAGUAAGAAACAUUCCUUGUAUAGUUAUUGCUGCUUGAAUCAGGGAGCCACUGAGGAAAUACUACCUGGCCUCUGAAGGAAUAAGGGCUGGUCCCGGAAAAAGACAGUAUAUUCUGGACUUUUUAAAAAUUGUACAGUGCAUAUUACCUCACAAAUAUUGUCCUGGGAAUGCAUUUUCAAGAAUUUGCAACAUCAAAGAACAAAAAUUAAGAGGAAAUAAAUAUUCAUCCAGAAUAUGUCAUUUGAGGUGAGCAUCAUGAGUUUGUCAGAGACAAUUUGAAUCAUCAUUUUGCUAAUAUUAAAAGAGAUGGCAUUUUAAAAUUUGAACUCUGAAAAGCAUUUGCUGGAAUCAUUUAUAAAAUGGCAAUAUUAGCCAUAAUUGGCCUGGGUAAAAACUUGAUAGGAGGAGAUGGAGGGAUUUAGGUAAUUCAAAUGGAUCUUUCAGUUCGGUUUUCUCAGGGGAACAAGGCAGCAUGUUGGUGGAAACUCUAAGGAAACCAAGUGGCAAGCCUUCUGAAAGCAAGGACUUGGAUUUUCCUUUCAAGACAUUUGCCAGAAGAGAAAAAAGCACAAGUGAAGAGAUGGAUUACGAACCUCUGAUUUAGACUGUACCUUAGUCACUUAAUGGCAACUCAAGCUGCCAGAUCUCUUGUUCCUCCUGUUUUAUGCCUUUUCUGUCACCCUACUCAACUAGUGACACUUGCUUUCCCACCAAGGCUCAGCACACCACUUCCAAGAAGAUCUGGGCUAGGUGGGUGCCAGUCUGAAUCUGAAUCGCCCCCGUCCUGGGCUCUCCUUAUCAAAAACACUUAGCAAAUUGUAUUAAACUGUUUUACUGUUUUCCCUUCUCCGACUCUAAGCUACUUGAAAACAAUUAUGGGUCACAUAUUUAUUUUCAUUCAUUCAUUCGUCAUCAGUUAUUUAUUAAGUGACCUACCACAUGCCUGGGCAUGGUGAUACAGUGGAAAUAAGGUACACUCCAUGUCCUUAAUGAGUUUUGUGCAUGAGUGCUGGUGCAUGGGUGAGUUCUGGGCAAAGAGAUCAAAGAGGGAUAAGUGCUUUCUUAGGGAUAAGGACAAUGACUAAGGGUCAUCAUACGACAGGCAUGGAACUUUGGCCAUGGUAGUCUUGGGAAGCUUUCAGUAGGUGAUGUAAA
rnacentral:lncRNA from 10 species